rnacentral:tRNA from 1 species
GGAGCGGCUGGGCCCGGUGGCCCAGCCGGCCUUCAAAGCCGGCACGGCGCGGCCGCACCGCGCCAGGAAGGUUCGACUCCUUCGCCGCUCCG